CACCUGGGGGGGGAACUGGCCGGGGAAGUGCUGCGACAUCCUCAAGCCGGCGGCGCUGGCCUGGAACUGCUUCUGGUACAGCAUGCUGUUGAUCUUGCUGGACUGGCUGCUGGGGGACGUGGAGCUCGCCCUGCAGGGGGGAAGCAGGUCACGGACCAAUGAGAGCGGAGACUCGCCAACGAGCGCCAACCGACGACAGCGGUACCUGUAGUGGCUGGAGGUGGGCGUGGUGCUCCGGGCUCCGAUGGGCGGCGUUCCAGGCUUCACAUCCAUCCCACUGCCGAAGAGCUUCAGAUCCAUGUCCAUCUGCAGGGAACACACACACACACACACACACACACACACACACACACACACACAAUUCAGUGUGUGCGAUAGGACCAACUUCCUAAAUUAACAAGAAACAAAGACAAAAUACAUAUGCACAGUGGGCUGUAAUGUCACAUGACAUGUUCUGAUGACCUCGCUGCCAGAUAAUAUUUAGGAGCUCUGACUCGGUAUCAACCCACAAACAAACACACGACACACAAACACACAACUCUUCUCCUGCGUCGUCGUCGUGCGAAUAAACUUCUUUAGCUACAAAGACAUGAAACAAGGAGCUGAGGAGCAUCAGCGGCGCUGCGGGACCUUGCUGCUCGGCAUCAUGCUGUGGUUGGGGCCCAUGAGGCCUCGGUACGGCUGGGAGACCGGGGGCUGCCGGUUGAUGUUGGGGGGCUGGGCCUGGGGGGGAGUGGGGGGCAGCGCCAGGAGGGGCUGACCUCCGCCUGAGCCAAAGUUAGGCAGCGACAGGGAGCUGGGCAUCUGCACCGUCAUCUGGACAGAUUAAAGCCGCUCGUUCAGCACCAGGAGAUUCUGCCGCUCUCGCCCCCCCCCCACAUCCCAACGGCCCCCCCAUCCUACCUGCUGCAUGGCCGAACUGGGCGACUGCGUGCUGCUGUAAUAACUGCUCUGGCCGUGCUGCUGCACCUGCCCCGAGUACAUGUUGGAAUGCUGACUCAUCCCCUGGCGGGCCUGAAACCGAAGCACACGCGUGAGCCGGGACUCCGGCACGGAGAGAUAAAUACAGAUGUCAGCGAGGCGUCGGUCAAUACCAUGAGGCCCAGUGGGACACUUCCUUUGUGCAGACUGGUUACCUGCAGCAGGUGUGUGUCCAUGAGCUGCUCUGCAUGAAGGCCUGCUGGGACCUGAGGGCGGCGCGGAGGACGGGCGCGGUGAGACGAUGCUCGGCAGCAGCGUGCGGGCGCUCGGCGCUCUGAGAGUUUACCUGUAAGGCUGCAAGGAGGAACUGAACAGGUCCUGAUGCUGGGAGACGGGGGGGCCGGUGCUGAGCCCCAGCUGGGCCUGAUGUUGGUGCUGGUGGUGCUGAUGUUGGUGCUGGGGCUGGUGGUGCUGAUGUUGGUGCUGGGGCUGAUGGUGCGGAUGUUGGUGCUGGGGCUGAUGGUGCUGGGGGGCAUAGAUGGGGAUGGGGAUCUGCUGCACUGCUGUGGGC
ensembl:lncRNA